CACACCCUGUGUCACAUGAAACGUCGUCUCAUUUAACCUGUGAAGCAUGAUUUCCAUGCACCAUUGUCCCCACUUUACAGAAAAGGAAGCCGAACGGGAGAGAUGAGGUGACUUCUUGGCAGCCGGGAGCUGACCCGGAGGCUUUUUCUGAGCUCCUCGGGUCUGGAAACUGGAAGUGCAGGUUCUGCCACUUGGUUUGACUGAUGAGGCCCUUUUCUACCACAGCCGGUCAGUCUGAAGUCCAACGCCUCCCUCCCACUAGCCCUUCGCUCCUCAAGCCUUGUUCAAGGAAAGAAGGGAAUGUGCUUCAGCUGUCAGAGCCAGAGCUGGCCCGGGGCCAAAUGGGCAAAAUAGGCUUUAGCUAGAACUGUGGAGAGAGGGGGAAGAGAGCCCGGGCCAGAGGCGCUUCAUUCUGGAAGCAGCUCGGACCAGGGGCCUUUCUAACCACAGGUGGCGCGGGGGCCACUGGGCGGAGGGUUGCUGAGAGGGGAGGCGGAGGGAGUGGAGGAAUUCUCGUUUAUGCAGAUCAAGGAGAUCAAAUGACAUUUAUGAGGGAGGUGACAGAGUUCUGGAAGGACUGGGAAUAACAGGAAGCCAGCAGUGAGCUCAUGAUUGCAGGUUGCCGUUGGCCAGGAGCUGAUGUUUGGGCUGGAGGCAGACUUUGUCUUCUGUCUGGAGGGGAUCAGAGCAACAGCUCAUUGUCAGGCCUGCUCUGGUCAUGGUACCAUCUUUGGAAGCCAUGAAGAAUGCUCGCCUCAGCCCGUCCCCAUCGGGAGCUCUCAGACAGGGACAUGAGGCGAGCUUCUGAUUCCUUCCAGGUAACAAUUAUUGGCACAUGGUCUGUACCACACCAGGGGCCAGGCUAGACAGGCUGGGCUGAGGUGGACCGCCGAGCAAGGGGCUUGGGCAAGGGUGAGGGGGGCGCUCCAGCUUGGCCAGGCCUGCCUGGGAGUGCUUAGUCCUCCAGAAGAAACAUGGCAGCUUGCAGGGAGCAGGCCCGAAGGUCAGAGCCCCUGCCACCCGCCCAGCUGUAGUUAACUGGAGCGUUUGCUCGUCAGCACGUCUGCUUUCCUCUGGGGUGAGGGUCUGAGCUCGGUACAGGGAAGGGUGGGGGGUGGGGCCACCGUUGUGGGUUUUAUUCCUCUAAACCCACAGCUGUAUGUGGGCGUCAUUAGUGGGCUUCAGGCCUGGCCCCCGUUUUUACUGCCUUCUCAGUACAACCCAGAGAAGCCCAAACGAGAACCCCACUAACUGUGGUUCUAGGAUUCUGUCAUGCCUGAAGUGCCUGGGAUGCGUAGGAGCAACUGUCCCUUUCCCUUCGCAGGCUCAGCAUUCUCAUAGCGUGUCCCUGUCCAUACUCCCAUUUGAUCUUCUCCAUCAUUUUUUUACCACAAGUAACGGGCUCCCCCGUUUGUACCAUUUCUGUUUGAGGUGAUGUCCGUUGCCUCUGACAGCUUCUUCUCUGGCGGCUGUCCCUCUUCCUGCCAUGAAAGCAGGCGUGGGAAAGUGUUCCAAUGUCCCCCACGGUGUGAGGGACCCUGGCGUCCCAACCCAAGCCACCAGGUACAUGCUGGACACCCGUUAUGCGUUUACCUGGACUCAGCUCAGCCAAUCCAUUCUAGGCUCUUUCUCUCUCUCUCUCUUUUUUUAGAUUUUUAUUUAUUUAUUUUGAAAGACACAGACGGGGGGAGGGGCAGAGGCAGAGGGAGACAGAGAAUCCCAAGCGGGCUGCAUGCUCAGCCCCACGUGGGGCCCGAUCUCAAGACCCUGAGAGCGUGAUCUGAGCCAAAAUCAACAGUCAGACACUGGACCGGCUCAGCCACCCAGGUACCCCCACUCCAGGCUCUUCUUAAUUCUUCUGUCAUUUAACAAAAGUUGCCGGGCAGCGAUGCAGCAAGGAGCUGUGUGAGAGCCUCGAGGACACAGAAACGGAACGUGCGAGCGUGUCCUCCACCGGCUUGAAGGUCCUGGAGGUAAGACUCCUGCCGAGCUGCUGUGGGAGAUGCUGGGAAGGGUGUGCUUCCAAAGGCCUCCGAGCAAAACGCCUGCCCUUUGGAGGGAAACAGAUCUAGCCGGCUGUCGGCCAGCGGCGUGUCCUUGCCGGGUUCAUGUCCUCCUGGCUCCUCCGAGCCUCGCCUGUAAAAAUGGGACCCCGGAGCCACCAUUUGUCACGUGCCUGCUGUGGGCCUGGCGGGUGUUUCCCAGCGGGGACACCACGGAUGUCACCCAACACACCCGGAGGCUGCCUUGCUCACGUCCAUGGGGCAGAGGUGAGCUGCCUGCCGCGUUCACGCAGUAAAUCGCAGGGUAGGGAGUAAAAUCCAUUAGUAUCUGGCUUCUAAACCCACGUCCUUCUCAUUCCAGGUUGCUGCCCCUGGGGCUGUGGAAGGGAUUAAAUGUGAUUUUUUUCAUGCAAGAUGCCCCCGCCUGGACCCCGGACCCUGUAGAUUGCUGGGAAGGGGCUCCUGUAUUUCCCCCAGCAGCGUGUCCCCGCUCUCCACACCCAUCCACGGCGCCAUCCUCCCAGAUGGAACACAAGGGCACAUUUCCCCUUGUAAUAAUUAAUACAUGUGCCAACAUGUUUAUGGAAAAUCGCUCACACUGUGCCCUUCAUCUCUAAGGACCCAAUCAUGUUUGGCAAGCAGGCUCCCAGAUGUGAGGCUGGUUCUCUCAGCCAAACAAAGGGGAGGAGAUUAUCUAGGAAAUUCUGACAAAGAAAGCCAUUAUCUGGUCUGAUGGAUGUGGGUUACUCACGCCGAAAUGGGGGCUUUUUGCCUGAAUUACCUGAGUGCUGUGUCUGCGUAGACCCAGACACAUUUAGUUCAUUUUCUUAAUGCUUCUUUUGCCGACUGAGUGCCCCUGAGGCUUCACAUCCAUGGACUGCCGGAGAGAGGGGCUUAGUAGCCCGGAACCCUCUGGGGUGUUCUCUGUUGUCUGGGGAACUGGGGGAAUAUGUCCAGCCCCUCCUCACUCUAAGCCUUGAGUGGUGGUGCCAGCAGUAGGGAGCCUGUCCUUUUCCUCUCCUGAGCCUUCCUCCCCACUGUGGUCCCAUGGUUCCUCUGAUCUGCCCACCCCUGGCGGCUCCCUGGGCCUGGGGAGCUGCCAACGAAUCCCGACUGGGGAUUAGCUAGCCCCUGCCACUGACGACUAGCGACUAGCGAUUAGCGACCAGCGUUUCACUUAAUAAUAAUGCUUCUUACAGCUCUGCAGUGCUGGGCUUUCACAUCCAUUAUCUCGCCUGAUCCGGACCCCAGUCCUGCGAGACGAUGGGCAUUAGUGGCGCCGUUUAAAUGAAAAAAAAAAAAAAAAAAAAAAAAAAAAAAAAAAAGAACCUGAGAAAGGAAGAGAGUGGGUUUAUCCCAGAUUACCAGGGCAGAGAGAGCAGAGCCAGCACCAAACCAAAGGGAGGGAGCCCAGAAGCAGGUGCUCUGACUCGAGGCUGUGUUCCCUCUACGACCUCCCCGGCACUCUUAGAGAAGUCACCUAAGACCCAAGGGAGGGGAUUUUCCAAUGGAUGGAUUUCCAGCUCCUAUGAUAAGUGAUGGGGGAGUUGUCUUUGGCGUGGGAGGAGGCCCUUCUGGGGCUUGUCAAAUUACCGCCCCCCGGCACCAGCUGCCUCCUCAUGGGGGGAGGGGCAGGGGUGGGGUGCCGGUGGUGUCACAGUCUCCCCAGGCGAGAGAUCCUCUCCCUGCUGAUGUGUGGAAUCUGGGUGGUAUAUCGGAAAAUGGGGCACAUAAACAGGCCCAUCGGCCAGUGCUUAGUGGGGACUGCUGACCCUGACAGGGACAUAGCAGCCAUCUCUACCAGGGAGACAGAGACAGACAGAGACAGAGAUAGAGAAGAGAGACACAGAGGGACAGUGGACACCCUGGAUAAUUCGAGUUUGCACAGCCUCUUUUGACAAGGAUCAGAAAGUUCUUUGCCGAUGCUACCGAAUUCUCCCCACCCUGUGAAGACAGAU